rfam:Schistosoma mattheei strain Denwood, Zambia genome assembly, scaffold: SMTD_scaffold0013433
AUCUAGCUGACGAGUCCUAAAUAGGAUGAAACGCGCUUUAUCCUGGAU